GAUGAACGCUGGCGGCGUGCCUAAUACAUGCAAGUCGAGCGAACAGACGAGGAGCUUGCUCCUCUGACGUUAGCGGCGGACGGGUGAGUAACACGUGGAUAACCUACCUAUAAGACUGGGAUAACUUCGGGAAACCGGAGCUAAUACCGGAUAAUAUAUUGAACCGCAUGGUUCAAUAGUGAAAGACGGUUUUGCUGUCACUUAUAGAUGGAUCCGCGCCGCAUUAGCUAGUUGGUAAGGUAACGGCUUACCAAGGCAACGAUGCGUAGCCGACCUGAGAGGGUGAUCAGCCACACUGGAACUGAGACACGGUCCAGACUCCUACGGGAGGCAGCAGUAGGGAAUCUUCCGCAAUGGGCGAAAGCCUGACGGAGCAACGCCGCGUGAGUGAUGAAGGUCUUCGGAUCGUAAAACACUGUUAUUAGGGAAGAACAAAUGUGUAAGUAACUAUGCACGUCUUGACGGUACCUAAUCAGAAAGCCACGGCUAACUACGUG
rnacentral:rRNA from 1 species